AUUGCUUCUUAGCCUUUUGGCUAAGAUCAAGUGUAGACUUUAUGAUAAACAUUUUGUUCAUUACCUUGAAUAUUUUAUAAUACUUUUUUUUCCCAGAAAAGAAAACACCUGCUAUAGUUUUUUCUCUUGUUUUAUCCCCAGGAUUUCCCCUUGGGACUGGUUAAUAAAAAACAUG
ensembl:snRNA U2 U2 spliceosomal RNA